UGGCGAUGUAAAAAUAAUCAUUAUGAGAGCUGUUUUAUUAAUGGAUGUAAGCAAAGGUAAAAUAAAUUUGCUUCAUUUGUAAGGAUAUGGGGUUUGACAGAAGAAGGAUUUGCAUGUGGGAAAAAGCACAGGAAAUAAUAUGCAAGAGACAGCGUCUGACUCUGCUGCCCAGGCCAGAAUACAAUGGUGUGAGCAUAGCUCACUGCAGCCUUGAAUUCUUGGGAUCAAGCAACUCUCUUGCCUCAACCUCCCAAAGUGUUGGAAAAACGGGCAUGAGCCGCCACACCCAGCCCCAUCCUUUUCUGAGAAGCUUGAUGUUGCCAUUUGUAGGCUGCUUUGAUGUCCAAUUCAAAGAGGUGUUUCUAAUAUCAUCUAUCAAGAUGAACCCUAACGGUGAAGUGACAAUAGGGACUAGCAAUAUGUAAAUGCGAGAACAGCCAUGUGUUGGACUCCCAGUCAAGGGGCAGAUCAUGCCAGGUCUGCAAGUAGCAUCUACUACAAGAUGUGCCCCCUAAACCAUGGCUCUGACCUUAUUACUCCACAUCAGCUGUCUAGACUGACUCAAGAGGAGGAGGGAUGCUCAUUAGAUGCAGAAAAGUUAUCUGAGGCAACUUGAGCAAUUGCUUCUUUUAUCUUCCUGGAGGAGCAUGGAGGCCAGUGUAAUAUCCUUAAGCUGCUCAUCCAUUGUUAAGAUGACAUUUCUUUAUCUCUUCAGUUUGAAGGCUUGUUUGAAAGUUCAGUGGUUUUCCAAUCACAGGCUAACAGUUUUUCCAAUGUGGCUUUUCUGUCUCUCUUUUUUUUCUUCCAAGUGUUACAAACUUGGACUUUGUUUUCCCUUUCCUAUUCAAAGGUCUAUUUAUGGAGUCCUUUGGAAGAUGAAACAAAUAUUAAAAGGUCAAAUGACAAAUAUGUACUGAGUGCCGACUAUGCAUAUGAUACCAUGUAUAGCACAAUGAAACUCAAGUAUUGGUCAAAAUAAUAAAGAAAAUAAAUGUGGAUAAAGAACUAUGUAAAGAUGUCUGUAUCUUUAUAAUUUUUAAAUAGUGCACAUCUUAUUUCUCUUAAAAUGUAAAGUCUCUGUUAUAGGUUAAAUUGUGUCCUUUAAAAAGAUACGGUGAAGUGACCUCGUUUGAAAACAGGGUCACUGAAGAGGUAAUUAAUUAAGAUAAGGUCAUACUGGGGUAGAGAGUUCCCUUAAUCCAAUAUGAUGGGUGCUCUUAAAGCAAAGAAAAGACACAGAGGGACACAAGAGGGAGAAAUGCCAUGUGGACCACUACAGGUUUUAGAGGGAGUGUGGUCCUGCCAAUACCUUGAUUUUAGACUUCCAGCUUCCACAACUGUGAUAACAAACUUCGGUUGUUUUAAGUCACCCAGUUUGUGGCACAUUGUUAUGGCAGCCUGAAAAAUCAAUGCAGAUGUGUAUUGACUAACAAUGGGAUUACCUCUCACUACAACCCUUGUAAGUUGAAAGUAUCUUAAGAAAAAUAAUGCAUUUAAUCCACCUAAUCUACAAAACAACAUAACUUAGCCUAGCCUAUCUUAAAUGCACUCAGAGCACUUAUAUUGGCCUAGGGUUGAGUGAAAUCAUCUAACACAAAGCCUAUUUUGCACUAAAAUGUUGAAUAUUUCAUGUAAUUUAUUGAAUAGUGUACUGAACAUAAAAAAUAAAGAAUGAUUGUAUAGGUACUCGAUGUAUGGUUUUUAUUGAAUGUAUAUUGCUUCCACACCCUCAUAUAGUCAAGAAAUUAUGAGUUGAACUACCUUAAGUUGGGAAUCAUCUGUACAGGACCUAGGACUCAAACUCUGUUCUUCUUUUCUAUCAAUCACUCCCUUGGUAACAUAACUAGUCUCAUCAUUUUAAGCUAUGUUUGAAUGACUCCCAAAUGUGUAUCUUUAGGGCAGAACUCUCUUCUGAAAUCCAACUGCCUACUCAGAAUUUCUAGUUGCAUGUGCAAUAAAUAAUUCAAAUGUUAGGUGACCACAAUUUCAUUCUUCAUCUUUCUCCCCAAUUUUGGUCUUCUAGCAACCCUACUAAAGUACUCUUGAAGCAAAUACUACUGGCUUUACCAUGAAAAUACCUCCAGAUUCCAUCCAUUUCUUACCACCUUUCCCGCUAGUACCCUGGUCCAAGCUCCCACUAUCCACUGUAUGGAACACACAAUAGUGUCAUAAAUGGUAUUUCUACUCCCACUUGUCCUGCCUACAGUAUAUUCCCAUCACAGUAGUUAAACUGACCAUCUAAAGAGCAAGUGAAAUCACAUCACUGGUCUUUUCAAACAUCUUCCAUAGACCUAGGUAUUACUUCACUGAGGUAAAAGCUAAAUGCCUUUAAUGGCCCUUUGGGCCUUUUGCCUACACCACCUCUUCUCCUUAUCUAUCAGAACUCAUCUCCUCCUACAGUUACGCAUUGCUUAACAAAGGGGGGAUAAUUCUGAGAAACGUGUCUUUAGGUGACUUUGUGCGAACAUCACAGUGCAUACAGUCAGCCCUCUGUACCAUUGAUUCCAUACCCAUGGAUUCAAAAAAUCAUAGAUCAUAAUUUUUUUAAAGAGUGUUAUCUCUGUACUGAACAUGUACUAAUUUUUUUCUUGUAAUUAUUCUCUAAACAAUACAAUAUAACUAUGUGCAUAGCAUUGACAUUGUAUUAGGCAUUAUAAGUAAUCUAGAGAUGAUUUAAAGUGUACAGGACAAUGUGCAUACGUUACAUGCAAUUAAAUGCAAAUAUUAUACCAUUUUAUAUCAGGAACUUGAACUUCUGUGGAUUUUGGUAUACAUGGGAAGUCCCG
rnacentral:lncRNA from 1 species